CUCUUCGCUCUGUUUCUUCAGAGCUAUUCGAUCUUCGUGGUUCGUUCUUCCAAGAGCACGGCUUCGUCCUUCUCCAGAAAUCUUCAUCACCGUAAGAUUCAACCUCAUCAUCCAUCUGGUUCUGCGUUUAUUAUUUACGCUCAAGAAUAUAUGGGAAGAUCGUGCGCUAAGGGAUUAUGUCUCUGAGAUUGACGUCAUGUUUCAUGGACGAAGAGAUCAAGACUCUUCUUUUUUUGCCAAGACUUCACAGAACGUUCUUUCUUUGCGCUUCAUACGUGCAAGGUUUUAGCUGCCUGGGGAGUCUCCAUGGAGGCAGUGGUUGAUGAUGGGUAUUCUUCAAGUCAGUGGUGGCAGAUAAUCUGGUUGUGUAAUCUAUUGAAACCAGAAGCGAAAUGGGAUAUUGUUAUGAUGAUGGAUGAAUGAAAUGUACUGAGAUAAAGAAGCCCUUAUGCAGGGGGUUUGAGUCCUGGUUUUGUCAUCCGACCUUUGCCAUGACAGGUGCGCUUGCAUGGCAGGUCACACAAAUCUUAAUAAAAUUUCUCUUUUGGUGGUUUUGAGGGGAGUUCGCACGGGAUAGUCCGGGUUCUCCCCUCUGUGUGUGGUGUGUCUGCUCUCCUUUUCAUUGCCUCUAUCUCUUUUCAUUAAAUCUGCUACGAUCGUCCUAAUGCACCCCUGUGCAUGUGCUUGGAUUCAUGAACUUGUUACUAUCUACCCCCAUGCACCAUAUCGGUUGGAUUCAUAAACCUGGUACUAUUUCCGGAUUCAUAACCAUCUCAGCUGGAUAAGGCCUUAAACCCAUUCUACAAUCAGAUCCUGUUGCACUAACGCAUUCUGCACUUCUACUCGAAAGAUCUGGAGGUAAAUUUCUGCCAAAUUUUAACUUUUAUAUAGAGUACUUUGUCCAACUAUGGAAAAAGAUGGGCAUACGGCAUAUAUUAGAUCCUAUUUUAACGUUCUUAUCUGUAUUUGUUGGCCUUCCGAUUAGCAUGAGGUUUUCAUAACAACUAUCCCCCACUACAGUUAUUUAUGCCAAGACAUUCAUAUUCACACAAUAUUCUCCAACAAAUUGAUCAUCUCAAAUAUUUGUCAACGCUAAAUUAAACCUAACAGAUAAGCUUUUGUGCUACAUGGAACUGCUUGUUACAAACUAAUCUUCAUGGAAAACGCCCGAAUUGGUAUUAUCUCAGCUCAUUUAAAUUCGGAUUCAUGUUGCACCAUUGUGAUUGUAGUUUAUGGUUCUUGAUUACAUGUGGUGUACCCAUGAAAAUGUAGCUUGUAACAUUGUUAGCAUUCUGCUCUUAAGUGAUUGGUUACUUUUUUGGAAUAUAUAUCAACUAUAUUGCCGCUUCAUAUUAUUGGCUGAAUUUCCGUUGGAGCUUGAUAGGUACCUGAAUAUGGUGGUUAGCAAACCUUCAAUUCUGAUGGGUUCCAGAGGCUCAAGCAAGUCCCCUCAGUUGGUCCCAGGUUGGGUCCUCUCUAGAUCAAGUUUACGAUCAAACCAGCACUCAGCAGCCUACAGCAAACUACAGCAGCAACUCACAAACAAACAGAAUGGAAAAUAAGUAAAACAGCAGCAAUUGGUUCACCCUUGAUACUCUUAAGAACUUCACAAUUCAUGAACACAAGGAAUAUAGACGCAGAAGAAGAAAACAACAUCGCAUUGCAAUCAAAGAGCUUUAGAAAUAAUAGUCAUUACAGUAGCCAUCAGAGUAUGUAAUUGUAACUGAAAAUGGAAACUGAAGUAAAAGGAAAAAUAGCUAAGCUGGGUUUCGAGAGCCAGCCCUCGCCAAGUGUAAUAUAAAAUAUUGAUUCAAUAAAAUGAUUUCUUUCUUCUUUA